GACGAACGCUGGCGGCGUGCUUAACACAUGCAAGUCGAACGAAGUGGCGAACGGGUGAGUAAUACGUGGGGAACCUGCCCUCCUGGUUGGGGUAAACCUUGGAAACGGGGAGUAAAACCGAAUCACGGGGGAUGGGCUCGCGGCCUAUCAGCUUGGUGGGGGGGUGAUGGCCUACCACGGCGGUGACGGGUAGGCGGCCUGAGAGGGUGAUCGGCAACAUUGGGACGGAGAGACGGCCCAGACUCCUACGGGAGGCAGCAGUUGGGCAAAUUGCACAAUGGACGUAGGCCUGAUGCAGCGACGCCGCGUGGGGGUUCAAGGCUUUCGGUUUGUAAACCUCUGUCGCUAUCGAACGGGUAGGUGCAGAAGAAGCGCCGGCUAACUACGUGCCAGCAGCCGCGGUAAUUC
rnacentral:rRNA from 1 species